rnacentral:rRNA from 1 species
UGACUGAGCGGCGGACGGGUGAGUAACGCGUGGGUGACCUGCCCCAUACCGGGGGAUAACAGCUGGAAACGGCUGCUAAUACCGCAUAAGCGCACAGAGCUGCAUGGCUCGGUGUGAAAAACUCCGGUGGUAUGGGAUGGGCCCGCGUCUGAUUAGGCAGUUGGCGGGGUAACGGCCCACCAAACCGACGAUCAGUAGCCGGCCUGAGAGGGCGACCGGCCACAUUGGGACUGAGACACGGCCCAAACUCCUACGGGAGGCAGCAGUGGGGAAUAUUGCACAAUGGGGGAAACCCUGAUGCAGCGACGCCGC